UUUAUGGAGAGUUUGAUCCUGGCUCAGGAUGAACGCUGGCGGCGUGCCUAAUACAUGCAAGUCGAGCGAACGGACGAGAAGCUUGCUUCUCUGAUGUUAGCGGCGGACGGGUGAGUAACACGUGGAUAACCUGCCUAUAAGACUGGGAUAACUUCGGGAAACCGGAGCUAAUACCGGAUAAUAUUUUGAACCGCAUGGUUCAAAAGUGAAAGACGGUCUUGCUGUCACUUAUAGAUGGAUCCGCGCUGCAUUAGCUAGUUGGUAAGGUAACGGCUUACCAAGGCAACGAUGCAUAGCCGACCUGAGAGGGUGAUCGGCCACACUGGAACUGAGACACGGUCCAGACUCCUACGGGAGGCAGCAGUAGGGAAUCUUCCGCAAUGGGCGAAAGCCUGACGGAGCAACGCCGCGUGAGUGAUGAAGGUCUUCGGAUCGUAAAACUCUGUUAUUAGGGAAGAACAUAUGUGUAAGUAACUGUGCACAUCUUGACGGUACCUAAUCAGAAAGCCACGGCUAACUACGUGCCAGCAGCCGCGGUAAUACGUAGGUGGCAAGCGUUAUCCGGAAUUAUUGGGCGUAAAGCGCGCGUAGGCGGUUUUUUAAGUCUGAUGUGAAAGCCCACGGCUCAACCGUGGAGGGUCAUUGGAAACUGGAAAACUUGAGUGCAGAAGAGGAAAGUGGAAUUCCAUGUGUAGCGGUGAAAUGCGCAGAGAUAUGGAGGAACACCAGUGGCGAAGGCGACUUUCUGGUCUGUAACUGACGCUGAUGUGCGAAAGCGUGGGGAUCAAACAGGAUUAGAUACCCUGGUAGUCCACGCCGUAAACGAUGAGUGCUAAGUGUUAGGGGGUUUCCGCCCCUUAGUGCUGCAGCUAACGCAUUAAGCACUCCGCCUGGGGAGUACGACCGCAAGGUUGAAACUCAAAGGAAUUGACGGGGACCCGCACAAGCGGUGGAGCAUGUGGUUUAAUUCGAAGCAACGCGAAGAACCUUACCAAAUCUUGACAUCCUUUGACAACUCUAGAGAUAGAGCCUUCCCCUUCGGGGGACAAAGUGACAGGUGGUGCAUGGUUGUCGUCAGCUCGUGUCGUGAGAUGUUGGGUUAAGUCCCGCAACGAGCGCAACCCUUAAGCUUAGUUGCCAUCAUUAAGUUGGGCACUCUAAGUUGACUGCCGGUGACAAACCGGAGGAAGGUGGGGAUGACGUCAAAUCAUCAUGCCCCUUAUGAUUUGGGCUACACACGUGCUACAAUGGACAAUACAAAGGGCAGCGAAACCGCGAGGUCAAGCAAAUCCCAUAAAGUUGUUCUCAGUUCGGAUUGUAGUCUGCAACUCGACUACAUGAAGCUGGAAUCGCUAGUAAUCGUAGAUCAGCAUGCUACGGUGAAUACGUUCCCGGGUCUUGUACACACCGCCCGUCACACCACGAGAGUUUGUAACACCCGAAGCCGGUGGAGUAACCUUUUAGGAGCUAGCCGUCGAAGGUGGGACAAAUGAUUGGGGUGAAGUCGUAACAAGGUAGCCGUAUCGGAAGGUGCGGCUGGAUCACCUCCUUUCU
rnacentral:rRNA from 1 species